rnacentral:pre_miRNA from 2 species
UCUUAUGGAUGAGCAAAGAAAGUGUUUUUUUGAGAUGGAAUCUACUCCUGAUGGAAGAUGCUGUGAG